GUGACUAUAAUGCUAUAUUUAUUUAACGUCUCCAUAAAAUAGAGCUUUAGGCACAGUAAAAGGAUCCCUACAUUGUAGAGCGCCUUCUCUCCCCCGUCCUCUCCCCUCAAUCUAGCUCUCACUCCCUCACUCUCCCUCACUCUCUCUCUCCCCAACCCUCUCUCUCCCCCCACCUAUCCCCCCCCCCCUCUCUCUCUCUCCUCCAAGCACGGGCCUAAAACGAGGACGGCAUAAAUUCCUUGCGACGAUUGCAAAUGGCAAUAUACAUGGCAUUAUAGGAAUUAGUGUGGCUCCGAGAGAUAAGUUGACGACUUUCUCGAGCGGCUCAAUUUUCCACCCGCUGCAAGGAACAGAUGGUUGACGCGAUAGUGUCGCCCCGGGCAGAGCCGGCGGCGACGGCCGUGCCGGAGAGACGGCAGGGGAGGGACACGGGAGCCUCCGGUGCAUGGGCGAGCGAGGAAACGAUAGAGAGAGAGAGGUUAGAGAGCGGGAGAGAGAGAGAGAGAGAGGGGCGAGGGAGGGUUGGUGGGGAUGCCUGCUGCUUCCACUCUUAACCUGCACGGGUGAAUAGUUCCCUAAUCAGAUUGCUCUAAUGAAUAGUUAAUUGCACAUGAGCUUCUACUGUUUGUAUACACAUCGUUCAACAUAUUCCAUUCCCCCGCCUCCUUACUCUCCUUCCUUCCUUCCUCCUUCCCCAUCCAUUGCGUAUCGUGCACUCGCUGGGGUUUAGCGCGGUCGCCUCGUCAAUGGCGCGUUGUCCUAGCAGCCGGUUGUGCUCCGAGGCAGCUGGGAGGCGUACAAUUACGUUCACAAAAAUAACAUUGAGAUGGCAUUCAAAUGUUUGAAAUGCACCCCGCGGUGCCCCGAAGUCCCUUCUGUCGGCAUUAGCCGCGCGCUACCGCUGCUCCCCUCAUCGGGGGUUGGAUAGUUCAGCGUGUACCUGUUGUCGCGCGGUGAUUGAUGGGCCCGGCGAAACACAGACAGGAGGAGCUAUCUGCCCAGGAAUACGGCCUUCCUUCUCCACAAGCGUUCCAUCUGUCACUCGAGUUGGGCUGAAGGGAGGAGGGGAGGGGGGGUUGUGGUUGAGGCAAGGCCCUGGUGUUGGGGAGCAUGUUAUGAGAGCACCUCCUCAUGUUUUUUUUAGGGUUCCUUCCUCCAUGCCCCGUGAUUACAUUGCCUCCGCCUGGUUGGACAUGUGUGUGGGCGCCGGUAAACAACUCAGUGUAUUCCUGUCUUCUCCCCUGUCUAUCUCCGAGAAAUUCUGAGUGUGUUUGCCCUGUUUGCAAGCUUGUGUGAGUGUGAGUUAUUUCUGUCUGUGUGUGUGAAAAUAGCUCAAUAUGCAUUGCUCGUGGUGCAAGGCAAUCGCACGAGUCAUUAUCCACCGUGACAAGGAUCAGGUUCUUUUAAAAUAAGUCUGGGAACAUCUGGUCACGAUGGGAGGAAGGAGAGCUCACUGUGUACUGGGGAGUGGCAGCAGAGCCAUGGUCCAAGCCUGCCCCGUACAGAACCAGCCAAGGCUGGAAACAACCCAAUGCUAAAACAAGAGCGGCUCUCAUUUUUUCCGUUGACUCCUGGGUAAAUCCCAUAAUCCCACAGCAAAACCCCUGGCAGUGUGUUCAUAAAAACAUAACAUUCACCGUUAAAAAAUAAAUAAAAGGGCCGAUCUUUGACCCUGCCUUUUGGAUCCAUUUUAGGUUGAGCAGAAUAAGAACCGGCAUAAACCAGGUUUGAUUUGGACUGUUGUGUUGGAAAUGACACAGGGGGGAUUGCAAAGGUCAGGCAGUAUAUUCAAAUAUCUUCCACAGCAGGACUAGGUUGCACAAGUUAUGCGUUUUUUCAUAAAUAUGUAGAUGAAUACCUUACUAGGUCCUUAGUCACUGCUAGUUAGUCUAAAACUAGCAGUUUGCUAAAUACGGUUGCACCGUCAAUGUAUGGUCCUAACUAGUAACAAUUUAGUAGUGUGGUUAGUAAUGUAGGUUGAACUCAAACUGUUCAGUUUGUCCUCAAUGUGACGUUAACCCGGUAGUAAGGAACCAGCAAGAAGCAACGAAGAAAACAAGGAAUCGCUUGAGAAGACCGGAAAGGUUAUCAAUUUGCAUGGCUCAGUUAGAAAGUGACUGUGUUUUGUUGUGCUCUGGAUGUAAAUUAGAAUAGCUUUGUGUUGUAAAAUAGUUAAAUUGGCACUGUAUCUAGGCUACCACUGCUGGGCUCUGCACACUGAAGCACACCGACUGCUAGGCAUUCUCCCCCAUAUUGAUAUCAUUCUUUUCAUUUUUUCAGAUUAUGUUUUUGUCACCAACUGCCACCAUUUACACCGUUAACACCUGCUUAUCGGUGGUGUAAAUAUUCAUAACUACUUAGCGAUACCUGAGAAGUAGUUUGGGUGGUGCAACCCGUUAUGAUUUAGUGAUGCGUAAUCUGCGACUUGGUAAACACUUUAUAUAUUAUACACGUUAUAACUAGACUGCCUUUGAACUCAAGCGCGCGCUGGGUGCAUCCGGCUCCAGGUGUUGAAAAUCAGUUAUUCCUCCAUCCGUUUAAUUUGCCAGUAAACGGCAGGUGGGUGAAUGAAUGUGUUUGUGUGUCUGUUUGGGUAUAGGGGCUGUGUGCGUGCGUGCGUGUGUGUGUGUGUGUGGGGAGGAUGACAGAUCACAGAUCAAGCACGACAGAAACCCCUCCCUCCCCACCCAUCCCUUCCCUCCCCCUCCCUCCCCCCUUCCCAGGCUCACCAGAGCGGAACAUCGAGUGGCGGCAAUUAAAAAAUGUCUGCCUUUACCGGGGGGCGCCUGGAGCCAUUGUUUGGUCCUGCCUCCUCUCAUCGCUCUCAUUAUCCUCACCUGUGGCUCCGGCAGACGGCCCUGCAUGGGCAACUUCUCCUCUGGCUGAAGAAAAACCUAAGAGAAAAAAUUAAAGAUAUAAACAAAGGCCUUCAGGUGGGGCUAGAGGUGCCUCGUCUAAUGCAGACGGAGUGUCGCUCCCGCACCCCCCCCCUGCUGGGACACAGAGCGGGUCUGACUGGGGCUCAGCCCUCCUCGCCUUUCAGAACGGCGGGGACUGCUUGCUGUUUAGGCAGGCGGCUGUUGGGUGGACACGCAAAGUCGCAGUCAGUGCUGCUGUAUGGGUGGGUAUUGUGUAUUGUCAGUGUACACAUUGCACUGUUUGGUUUGUGUCUGAGUCUGUCUGUCUGUGUGUGUGUGUGUGUGUGUGUGUGUGUGUGUGUGUGUGUGUGUGUGUGUGUGUGUGUGUGUGUGUGUGUGUGUGUGUGUGCGUGCGUGCGUGUGUUGUGUGUGUAUGUCUGUGUCUUUAUGUGUGUGUCUGUGUGUACAUGUCUGUGUGUGUAUAUGUCUGUGUGUGCGUCUGUGUAUAUCUAUGUCUGUGUGCGUCGGUGUUUGUGUGUGUGUGUGUUCAUCGAGCAGCACCCCCAGGCAGGCCAUUGUAGCCAAAGCGAGACCGGUGUUUCCACACAUGCCACAGAGGCAGUGACCCGCACCAGUAUAAUGACUCCUGGGGUUAAUGCCAAGGGAGUGAUCCAGCUCGCAGCCACAGGAGACGGGGAGAGGAGCCGGGAGGGGAGGUGGGGGUGGUGGCGUUAAGGAGCCACAAAUGUUACACAGCUUUUGAGCCUUUUAUUCCUGCAUGUAAAACACAGCGAUCUGUUUCCACUCUGAUUCAGUUUCACAAGCUGCCAGUGAGCCACUGCCAAUCUAUGUCACUCUGUCGCUCUCUCGAUCCUUCCUCUUUCUCUAUCUCUGUCUCUUUGUCGCUGGCGCUCUCUCUCUCUGUCUCUCUCUCCUUUCUCCCUUCUCUCUCUGGUUCUCUCUCUGGUUCUCUCUCUCUCUCUCUCUCUCUCUCUCUCUCUCUCUCUCUCUCUCUGGCUCUCCGUCGCUGGCACUCUCUCUUUCUCUCUCUCUCUUGCAUUCUCAUGGAUUUCUAAAGCUAAAAAUAC
ensembl:lncRNA